CAUAAUAAAAUGUUUUAAUGGAGAAGAGUGUCGUGCCUCCACCACUUUUUAUGGAUCAUGUAAUAUCAUAGAAUGUAAAAAGUGAACAGCCCGCUACACAAGCAUUUAGAUAGGUAUUACUGUUGGAGCUAGAAACACAAGCAUUUAGGUAGGUAUUACAGUACUGUUGGAGCAAGAAACACAAGCAUUUAGCUAGGUAUUACAGCACUGUUGGAGCAAGAAACACAAGCAUUUAGCUAGGUAUUACUGUUGGAGCUAGAAACACAAGCAUUUAGCUAGGUAUUACUGUUGGAGCUAGAAACACAAGAAUUUAGCUAGGUAUUACUGUUGGAGGUAGAAACACAAGCAUUUAGCUAGGUAUUACUGUUGGAGCUAGAAACACAAGCAUUUAGCUAGGUAUUACAGUACUGUUGGAGCAAGAAACACAAGCAUUUAACUAGGUAUUACUGUUGGAGCUAGAAACACAAGCAUUUAGCUAGGUAUUACAGUACUGUUGGAGCAAGAAACACAAGCAUUUAGCUAGGUAUUACUGUUGGAGCUAGAAACACAAGCAUUUAGCUAGGUAUUACUGUUGGAGCUAGAAACACAAGCAUUUAGCUAGGUAUUACAGUACUGUUAUAGCUAGAAACACAAGCAUUUAGCUAGGUAUUACUGUACUGUUGGAGCUAGAAACAUAAGCAUUUAGCUAGGUAUUACUGUUGGAGCUCGAAACACAAGCAUUUAGAUAGGUAUUACUGUACUGUUGGAGCUAGAAACAUAAGCAUUUAGCUAGGUAUUACUGUUGGAGCUCAAAACACAAGCAUUUAGCUAGGUAUUACAGUACUGUUGGAGCUCGAAACACAAGCAUUUAACUAGGUAUUACAGUACUGUUAUAGCUAGAAACACAAACAUUUAGCUAGGUAUUACUGUACUGUUGGAGCUAGAAACAUAAGCAUUUAGCUAGGUAUUACUGUUGGAGCUCGAAACACAAGCAUUUAGAUAGGUAUUACUGUACUGUUGGAGCUAGAAACAUAAGCAUUUAGCUAGGUAUUACUGUUGGAGCUCAAAACACAAGCAUUUAGCUAGGUAUUACAGUACUGUUGGAGCUCGAAACACAAGCAUUU
rnacentral:lncRNA from 1 species